rnacentral:rRNA from 1 species
UACGUAGGGGGCUAGCGUUGUCCGGAUUUAUUGGGCGUAAAGAGCGUGUAGGCGGCCAGGUAGGUCUGGUGUGAAAACUCGAGGCUCAACCUCGAGACGUCGGCGGAAACCAUCUGGCUAGAGUCCGGAAGAGGAGAGUGGAAUUCCUGGUGUAGCGGUGAAAUGCGCAGAUAUCAGGAAGAACACCCGUGGCGAAGGCGGCUCUCUGGGACGGUACUAACGCUGAGACGCGAAAGCGUGGGGAGCGAACAGG